rnacentral:lncRNA from 1 species
CCCGCCCCCCGCCCCUUCGCGGGAGCGGAGCUCGGGCUUAAAUUAUCCCCUGCGAAAAUCCCAGAUCGGGGCUAAAUUUCUCCCACCCCACUCGCCCCGCCAGCGGCUGCAGCUGCUGCUCCUGCAGCCGGGAGGGGAAAAUGUGGCCGGCUAACACGCAGCAGGAAACCUUUAUUUCAGAUUCGGUCAUUAAAGCGUGGGUUUCUGCUCGCGCCCUUUAACGAGGUGCCCACUCCCGGCCGCUAGCUGCAAUAUGAUCUUUGCUGCUUUGUGCAUUGGGCUUUGUUUUGGAUUUGGUUUUGGAAAAAGCGCGUCUAGACAACGAUUAUGUUGGUGGCAAGAGGAUGACAGACUUUAAGAACAGAGAAGGCUUGGACCACUGAGGCAGGCACACCUGGCUUCUGUCCCCAGCUAAGAAGCAUCAGAGAAGUCUUUUAACCCUUAAGUUUCCAUUUCCUCUUAUGUAAAAUAGGUGCACAAACACCUACCUAAGCAGAGUGUUGUAAGAUU